rnacentral:tRNA from 1 species
GAAAUGUUAGGUUAAGUAAAACUAGUAGUUUGUCAGGCUACGGAUCUUAUAUUAUAUGAGAUAUUUCG